AAAUCCAGUCGCUGACUGCCCCUCCCCUCCCGAGUUGCGCCGCUCCCUUCAGCGCCCUAAGAGAUCAGCAACACCCACUAAAAUCCACCAGAUCGAGGUCGCACCCCUCAUGCCCUUCCUCCUCUGACUACACCACCGUCGUCUCUACCACGACGAGGAGGAGACCUGCACGAGGAGGUGACCACUCAAUACAACGGUCGGCGUCGGCAGAGUAGCUUGAGGAGGCUCGGCAUCAGCACCUCACCAGGACUCCAGAGUAGCUUGAGGAGGCUGGCCUCGACGUUUUGGUCCAGCUGGUUGACCGUACCUCCGGUUCCUUCUCCGGCAACCACAAACGACCGUGUUUCUUGCGGUUUGCUGAUGACAUCUCAUAACACAAGCUAGGGGAUGAAAAGCACGUGAAGAUGCGGACGUCUUAUAGUUGUGACCAGCAUCUGUUUGUGUUCAACUUUCUGUAGAUUUACAUCUGAUAAUUAAUUUUGCUCUGCCUUUCCAAUCUUGCUGGAAUUUUGUUGCUUAACACACUAGCAGCUGUUUUAUGUCAAUAAUGUUUAUUAUUCAGUGUAAGCUAAUGUAGCUAUUGUGCCAUCUUAAAGAUUGUUGAGUUAUUAUUACAGCCCUCAAGUUAA